rnacentral:lncRNA from 1 species
CAUUGUCUAUUAGUUCAGGACAGUGAAUAAAUUUAGUUUAUUCCCUUCCAUUUCUCUUGUUCUCUUUUCCAGUGGUAGAGUGCAUGGCAGCAGAAAGCAAAGUAUCAGAAUGAAACUAAAAAUAAAAUCCAAAAUAGGACAGCACUACAGGAAUGAGUGGACAGUUCCUAGAAAAAUUUGAAGGAUAGACAGUCAAUGACUUGCACAGCAGGAUGUUAACCAUUAUGUAUAUGCAAUAUACAAUCUUAAAUGCCCACCAUUCUGUGAUCCUCAACUGGCUUCUAUGGCCUUCGUUGAACUUCAGAUGUAACACUGUCAUUGGGAGUCUAAUGUGUCAGCUUUAGGAAAGGAAAAAAAAAAAAUAUCCAGCAGCACUGCAUGUUUCCAUGUGUGUUCAAGUGUCAUCCUCUGUUUUUCAACUAAGUCCCGCUCUUCUUGCUCCUCUAGGUGCAGGGCAGGAGCUGGCCCCAACAGUUCUUCAGCUGGCAGCUUUAGCUGCUAAACAGGAACAUAAAGCUUGCCAGUGAAGAACUGCUGAUAGUCAGCCAGACAUGGGCACAGAUGCUUCUUCCACUGGAGACUGCAUGUUCUGGGCACAGAUCUGGAGGAGAUGGAGAGAUCGAGUUUAGUUAAAACUGGAGUGCAGGUGGGAACAAAACCACUGUUGCCCCCACAGUCCAAACCAACAUCCUCCAACUGCGUGCGAGAAGAGUGGUAUGGAAGGAAAUUCCAGCCGGAUGAAACAAUGGAAAUGACUGCGGGGACAGGAGGAAGCACCACAGGCAUGUGAGGAAUGCCCAGAGUCUGUGACUGAUCCCUAUGCUUUCUUUCCCAUAAAUCUCUCUCAAUCAACGGUGGAGAGAGGCACAAAUGGCCAACGUGAGCUUAUUGCUUGAAGAGUGAACACACUGUUACAAACAUGCAUUAACCAAAUCACUGCAGACACUAAGAACAAUAAGCUCAGACAUCCCAGCAGAUACUGGGAUGUAGUAAAAUUUGCCUUGCUUUACAGAACCGCA